rnacentral:rRNA from 1 species
CAUGGUUGUCGUCAGCUCGUGUCGUGAGAUGUUGGGUUAAGUCCCGCAACGAGCGCAACCCUCGACCUUAGUUGCCAGCAUUCAGUUGGGCACUCUAAGGUGAACUGCCGGCUAAAAGUCGGAGGAAGGUGGGGAUGACGUCAAAUCAUCAUGCCCCUUAUGACCUGGGCUACACACGUGCUACAAUGGGCGGUACAAAGGGUCGCGAACCCGCGAGGGGGAGCCAAUCCCAAAAAGCCGCUCUCAGUUCGGAUUGCAGGCUGCAACUCGCCUGCAUGAAGCCGGAAUCGCUAGUAAUCGCGGAUCAGCAUGCCGCGGUGAAUACGUUCCCGGGCCUU